AGCGAACGCUGGCGGCAGGCCUAACACAUGCAAGUCGAACGAACCUUUCGGGGUUAGUGGCGGACGGGUGAGUAACACGUGGGAACGUGCCUUUAGGUUCGAAAUAACUCAGGGAAACUUGUGCUAAUACCGAAUGUGCCCUUCGGGGGAAAGAUUUAUCGCCUUUAGAGCGGCCCGCGUCUGAUUAGCUAGUUGGUUGAGGUAAUGGCUCACCAAGGCGACGAUCAGUAGCUGGUCUGAGAGGAUGAUCAGCCACAUUGGGACUGAGACACGGCCCAAACUCCUACGGGAGGCAGCAGUGGGGAAUCUUGCGCAAUGGGCGAAAGCCUGACGCAGCCAUGCCGCGUGAAUGAUGAAGGUCUUAGGAUUGUAAAAUUCUUUCACCGGGGACGAUAAUGACGGUACCCGGAGAAGAAGCCCCGGCUAACUUCGUG
rnacentral:rRNA from 1 species